rnacentral:rRNA from 1 species
AGAGUUUGAUCAUGGCUCAGAACGAACGCUGGCGGCAGGUCUUAGGCAUGCAAGUCGAACGGAUGACAGAGAGCUUGCUCUCUGAAGUCAGUGGCGCACGAGUGAGUAACGCGUGGGAAACUGCCCUUCACUGGGGAAUAACGUCUGGAAACGGACGCUAAUACCGCAUACGCCCGCAAGGGGAAAGAUUUAUCGGUGAUGGAUGUGCCCGCGUUGGAUUAGCCAGUUGGUGGGGUAAUGGCCUACCAAAGCAAUGAUCCAUAGCUGGUCUGAGAGGACGAUCAGCCACGCUGGAACUGAGACACGGUCCAGACUCCUACGGGAGGCAGCAGCUAAGAAUAUUGGGCAAUGGAGGAAACUCUGACCCAGCCCAUGCCGCGUGAAUGAAGAAGGCCUUCGGGUUGUAAAGUUCUUUUAGUCAUGAAGAUGAUGACAGUAGUGACAGAAAAAGCACCGGCUAACUUCGUGCCAGCCGCAGC